GAUGAACGCUGGCGGCGUGCCUAAUACAUGCAAGUCGAGCGAAUGGAUUAAGAGCUUGCUCUUAUGAAGUUAGCGGCGGACGGGUGAGUAACACGUGGGUAACCUGCCCCAGACUUCGGGAUAACGCUUCGAAAGAGGUGCUAAUACCGGAUACGAACUCCUUGGGCAUCCUGGGAGUUGGAAAGUUUUUCGGUCUGGGAUGGGCCCGCGGCCUAUCAGCUUGUUGGGGAGGUAACGGCUCACCAAGGCGACGACGGGUAGCUGGCCUGAGAGGGCGACCGGCCACACUGGGACUGAGACACGGCCCAGACUCCUACGGGAGGCAGCAGUGGGGAAUAUUGCGCAAUGGGCGAAAGCCUGACGCAGCAACGCCGCGUGAGGGAUGACGGCCUUCGGGUUGUAAACCUCUUUCAGCAGGGAAGAAGCGAAAGUGACGGUACCUGCAGAAGAAGCACCGGCUAACUACGUGCCAGCCGCCGCCGUAA
rnacentral:rRNA from 1 species